rnacentral:rRNA from 1 species
UGCGUAGGUGGCCAAUUAAGUCAAAUGUGAAAUCCCCGAGCUUAACUUGGGAAUUGCAUUCGAUACUGGUUGGCUAGAGUAUGGGAGAGGAUGGUAGAAUUCCAGGUGUAGCGGUGAAAUGCGUAGAGAUCUGGAGGAAUACCGAUGGCGAAGGCAGCCAUCUGGCCUAAUACUGACGCUGAGGAGCGAAAGCAUGGGUAGCGAACAGGAUUAGAUACCCUGGUA